CAUCUCUGGACCCGGUUCGUAAACAAAUCUACUCUGUUGCACACGGGACAGGCGCUCGGCCACAGAGACACCAGCACUGGUGUCACUGACUAGAUUAUUAACAUGGCAAACUCCCCCACAUGAGCAGAAAUCAACAACAAUGUCAGCACACUGCACUUGUGGGAGUCCUGUCAGUUGCUGUCUCAACAGCGGCUCUCUCAACAGCGGCCGGCAGGUCAGAGUGUGCACGGACAGGCCGGCACUGAGUGUCCACAAUGCUGCUCCCCGGGGGAGUCGGACCAGCACCCGAGCAUCGUGCAUAGAUGGAAAGUCCAGAGCCUGCUGUCACUCCUACCUCACAAUCACCUCAAACCCUCGAGCUGGAAAACAACCACAGCUCCUCUCCCCUCCCUCCUUCUUUCAGCAUCCCAGACCUCUACCAGAAUCAAAAUGAAUCAGUUCUUUGCCAGUUCAGUACCGAUCAGAACAACAGGGAAAGUCUCGCGCCCUUGAGCCCCAGUACUACACUGCCCCUGCUCUGUCAGGACCCCUGAACAGGGCUGGGGCAGAACCUCAUCUAGAGGAUCCCGAUCUCCCAGGUCACCCCUCCUGCAGAGCCCAGACAACAACAGCAGGGAGAGGGAGGCAGCCCUAUACAGCUAAUCCUUCAGUCAAAUAUACGCAUUGAGACUGGUUUGGCUUUUCAUAUGUGGAUGCCCCUUAUGGUGAUGUAAAUCAAACCCAGAUGAUAAACCUGUGACAAGCCAGUGUGUGCUGGGGUCUGACGUCCAGCCACAGAGAGCUGGGACCUCCCAACUUCCGAAACUGCCCCGCCAGCAGCUGUAAGAUGCCCUGAAAAGUGCGACUCACCGACAUCCCGGACCCUCCUGAGCGUCACGGCGGCGCGCUGCCCUGCUGCACGAGUCCUCGCACUUCAGGCGCUCGGGAGA
rnacentral:lncRNA from 1 species